GAUGAACGCUGGCGGCGUGCCUAAUACAUGCAAGUCGAGCGAACGGACGAGAAGCUUUCUUCUCUGAUGUUAGCGGCGGACGGGUGAGUAACACGUGGAUAACCUACCUAUAAGACUGGGAUAACUUCGGGAAACCGGAGCUAAUACCGGAUAAUAUUUUGAACCGCAUGGUUCAAAAGUGAAAGACGGUCUUGCUGUCACUUAUAGAUGGAUCCGCGCUGCAUUAGCUAGUUGGUAAGGUAACGGCUUACCAAGGCAACGAUGCAUAACCGACCUGAGAGGGUGAUCGGCCACACUGGAACUGAGACACGGUCCCGACUCCUACGGGAGGCAGCAGUAGGGAAUCUUCCGCAAUGGGCGAAAGCCUGACGGAGCAACGCCGCGUGAGUGAUGAAGGUCUUCGGAUCGUAGAACUCUGUUAUUAGGGAAGAACAUAUGUGUAAGUAACUGUGCACAUCUUGACGGUACCUAAUCAGAAAGCCACGGCUAACUACGUG
rnacentral:rRNA from 1 species